rnacentral:snoRNA from 1 species
CUGCAGCCAAUUAAGCCGACCAUGCUCCUUCCCUCAUGGGGGCCCGGUGUGCAAUGGCUGCAAACAGCAGCCUCCUUGGUAGUGUAUGCAGCCUGUUGCUUGUAUGGGUUGCUCUAAGGGACCUUGGAGACAGUC